rnacentral:tRNA from 1 species
ACCGAAAUAACUCAAUUGGGAGAGCGUCAGACUAUAAAUCGAAAGGUCCCUGGUUCGAUCCCGAAAUUCGGCA